rnacentral:rRNA from 1 species
GACGGACUCCGCAACCGCCUGUCCUACCUGCACGGCAGCCGAGCCGGUUUCCUUCCCCACGACCCCACCUAUAAAUUCCCCACACCAUCGACACCCUUUACCCAAUCCACUCGCCCGCUGACUCCGAUCAAGAAAAUCCCCGCCGCAACACAGCGAUCGAUCUUUAGCUCCCGCGAACCUCCCUCUCUGUCAAGAUGCAGAUUUUUGUGAAGACGCUCACCGGCAAGACCAUCACACUUGAGGUCGAGUCCUCUGACACAAUUGACAAUGUCAAGGCAAAGAUCCAGGAUAAGGAGGGUAUCCCGCCGGACCAGCAGCGACUCAUCUUUGCUGGCAAGCAACUCGAGGAUGGGCGGACACUAGCUGAUUACAACAUCCAGAAAGAGUCCACCCUCCACUUGGUUCUCCGUCUCCGUGGUGGGCAUGCAGAUCUUUGUCAAGACCUUGACCGGCAAGACCAUCACCCUGAAGGUGGAAUCUUCAGACACCAUCGACAACGUGAAGGCGAAGAUCCAGGACAAGGAGGGCAUCCCCCCGGACCAGCAGCGCCUGAUCUUUGCCGGUAAGCAGCUUGAGGAUGGUCGCACACUGGCAGAUUACAACAUUCAGAAGGAGUCUACUCUCCACCUGGUGCUUCGCCUUCGUGGUGGCCAGUGAGUUCUUCGCAUUCCUGGAAGUUUGACCCGGACCAGCAGCGCCUGAUCUUUGCCGGUAAGCAGCUUUAGGAUGGUCGCAUACUGUUGGACUCCACCUGGUGCUUUGCCUUCGUGGUGUCACUGAGUUCUUCGCACUCCUGGAAGUUUGAUUUGACUACGCCUGUUGCUGGUAUCCGAGUCAUUAUUUGUGCUUUUACUUAAAAUUUGUAGUCCCGUGCCAUUCGUGAGAACACCUGGUGCUGCCUUUAAGCAGCUUAUAUUAGUACUAUCCGUUAUGAAAUAUAAGUGAUCCUGAAUCUUCUUAUUCCUUGAUAAGCCGAAUCUCCGUAUCCUGUAAAUUACAGUUGCUUUGUGCUGGUCCUGUGAUUCAUAGAUGUUCAGACUGUAACAUCGAGGGGGAUGAGAAAUUUUGAUGGAGGUACUUUAUAAAAGUAUUAGUUUUACCC